GACUCCCUACUGCCGAGUUUCCUGUUAGAUCUGCAGCCUCCUCUGUGUAUGGAUUCUGGACAAGCUGAGAGGACGGAGGGAGAGAGAGAGACAACAAGAUUUUUCACAUGCGGUAUGUCCACAGUAAAAGAACAGGCGUAACAAUUGUACACUGUUGCUCUAAGUGGGCCCUGCAAAUUAUGUACCUGGUCCUGUAUGGAGCCAAGAUGGAGGACUUCUAAGUAAUAAGUUUAAGAAUCAGAAGUAGGAGCCUUCACCAUGGUUGUCUACUGCUGCUGCUGCUGCUAAGUCGCUUCAGUCAUGUCCGACUCUGUGCGACCCCACAGACGGCAGCCCACCAGGCUCCCCCGUCCCUGGUAUUCUCCAGGCAAGAACACUGGAUUGGGUUGCCUUUGCCUUCUCCAAUGCAUGAAAGUGAAAAGUCAAAGUGAAGUCACUCAGUCGUGUCCGACUCUUAGUGACCCCAUGGACUGCAGUCUACCAGGCUCCUCCGUCCAUGGGAUUUGCCAGGCAAGAGUACUGGAGUGGGUUGCCAUUGCCUUCUCUGAUGGUUGUCUAGUGCUCCAUAAAUACUGAAGAAUAUUUUUGCAAGUAUAAAAAGUGUGUGUGUGUUCAGAUGGCCAAGAGGCACUUGAAAAGAUGCUCAACAUCAUUAAUUAUUAGAGAAAUGCAAAUCAAAACUACAAUGAGAUAUCACCUCAUACCAGUCAGAAUGGCCAUCAUCAAAAAGUUUACAAGCAAUAAAUGCUGGAGAGGGUGUGGAGAAAAGGGAACCCUCCUACACUGUUGGUAGGAAUGUAAAUUGGUGCAGUCACUAUGGAGGACAGUAUGGAGAUUCCUUAAAAAACUAAAAAUAGAGCUAUGAUAUGACCCUGCAAUCCCACUCUUUGGGCUUAUGUCCAGAGAAAACUGUGGUUUGAAAGGAUACGUGUACCCCAGUAUUCAUUGUAACGCUGUUUACAAUAGCCAAGGGAUGGAAGCAAUCUAAAUGUCCAUUGACAGAUGAAUGGAUGAAGAAGUUGUGGCACAUAUAUACAAUGGAAUAUUACUCACCCAUUAAAAAGAAUGAAAUAAUGCCAUUUGCAGCAACAUGGAUGGACCUGGAGAUUAUCAUACUGAGUAAAGUGGCAUUGGUGAUAAAGAACCUGCUUGCCAAUGCAGAUGUAAGAGAUGUAAAAGACUCAGGUUCGAUCUCUGCUUUGGAAGAUCCCCCGGAGUAGGAAAAGGCAGCCCACUCCAGUACCCUUGCCUGGAACAUUCCCUGGACAGAGAAGCCUGGCGGGUCACAGUGAGUGGGUCGCAAAGUGUAGGACAUGACUGACUGACUGUGUGCGCACGGCACAGCGUGUACAUCAGACAAAAGAGCUUCUGCACAGAAGGAGCGAUGAACAACAAAAGGACAAGGCCACUUAGGAAUGGGAGAAAGUGUUUGCGAGCCACACAUCUGCUAAAAGGUUACUAUCCAAAAUAUCAUGCAACUCAAUAGCAAAACCCCCACACAAUCCAAUUUUAAAAUGAGCAAAGGACCUGAAUAGACAGUUUUCCAAAGGAGAUAUCCAAAUGGCCAACAAGUACAUGAAAAGGUGCUUAACAUCAUUAAUUUUUAUGGAAAUGCAAAUCAAAACCACAGUUGAGAUGUCAUCUCACAUCUGCUAGAGUGACUAUCAUGAAAAGGCAAGAAAUAUAAAAAUUAUGAACUACUAUGUUGUACACCUGAAACUUAUAUUGUUCAUCAACUAUACCUCAAUAAAAAAAAAAUUAAAAAAGACAAGAAAUAACAAUUGGUGGUAAGGAUGUGGAGAAAAGGGAAACCUUGUGUACUGUUGGUGGGAAUGUAAAUUGGUGUAACCACUGUGGAAAAAGGAUGGCAGUUCCUCAAAAAAUUAAAAAUAGAACUACCAUGUGAUCCAACAAUUCCACAUUUAGGGGCAUAUCUGAAGGGAAAAAAAUCACAAAGAGAUAUCUCUAUCUCCAUGAUCAUUGCAGCCAUAUUUGUAAUAGCCAAGACAUGGAAACAACCUAACUGGCCAUCAAUAGAUACAUGGAUUAAGGAGAUGUAAGAUAUACAUUAUAUACAUAUACAAUAUUAUAUAUGUAUCAUGUUAUAUCCAUUUAAGAUACAUUAUAUAUUUAAUUCAGUUAUUUAAAAAAAGGAAAUUCUACCAUUUGUGACAACGUGGAUGGACCUUGAGGGAAUUAUGCUAAUAGAAUAAGAAAAAGACAAAUACUGUAUGAUCUCACUUAUAUGUGGAAUCUAAAAAAACUCAAACUCAUAGAAACAGAGAUCAGAUUUUCGGUUGGCAGAGGUAGGGGGAAAGGGUCUUUGGGUGAUGCUGGUCAGAAGGCACAAAUUCCUAGUUGUAACUUAAAUUCUGAGGUUGUAAUACACAAUAUGGUGACUAUAGUUAACAAAACUAUAUUGUAUAUUUGAAGAUAGCUAAGAGAGCAGAUCUUAAAAGUUCUCGUUACAAGGAAAAAAAUUAUAAUUACGUGAUGAAUCAUUUUUCAAUAUGUACGUAUCAAAUCAUUAUGCUGUUCACCUUAAACUUAUACAAUGCUAUAUGUCAAUUGUAGCUCAA